GACGACCGCUGGCGGCGUGCUUAACACAUCCAAGUCGAACGGAAAGGCCCUGCUUUUGUGGGGUGCUCGAGUGGCGAACGGGUGAGUAACACGUGAGUAACCUGCCCUUGACUUUGGGAUAACUUCUGGAAACUGCGGCUAAUACUGGAUAGGAGCUCCUGCUGCAUGGUGGGGGUUGGAAAGUUUCGGCGGUUGGGGAUGGGCUCGCGGCUUAUCAGCUUGUUAGUGGGGUAGUGGCUUACCAAGGCUUUGACGGGUAGCCGGCCUGAGAGGGUGACCGGCCACAUUGGGACUUAGAGACGGCCCAGACUCCUACGGGAGGCAGCAGUGGGGAAUAUUGCACAAUGGGCGGAAGCCUGAUGCAGCAACGCCGCGUGCGGGAUGACGGCCUUCGGGUUGUAAACCGCUUUCGCCUGUGACGAAGCGUGAGUGACGGUAAUGGGUAAAGAAGCACCGGCUAACUACGUG
rnacentral:rRNA from 1 species